rnacentral:lncRNA from 1 species
UAACCUGUUUCUGCGGAUCCGCAUUCUCCUUAGUAUCAGAAGCAGCCGAAACGUCCUUUCCAUCUACAUCAGCCUGAGAUGCUUUAUUGUUCUUCUUCUGCUUCCGUCUACGGCGGCGACGGUCACUCUCACGAGAUUUCUUCGAGGAAGCGGUGGUGUUUCCGUUGGAGACAUCGCCGUUAGAAACGACGCUAUUUUCGUGUGCGUCAGUUGAAUCGGCGGUCAUAUUCGGCGAAGUCUCGGAUUCGACGGGAAAGUGAGUUACAGAAGAGAAGAAGAAAACAAGGAAAUCGAGAGGAUAUAUACAAACGGAGUCGGUUUGCUGAAAUUACCUCUCAA